GAUGAACGCUGGCGGCGUGCCUAAUACAUGCAAGUCGAGCGAACAGACGAGGAGCUUGCUCCUCUGACGUUAGCGGCGGACGGGUGAGUAACACGUGGAUAACCUACCUAUAAGACUGGGAUAACUUCGGGAAACCGGAGCUAAUACCGGAUAAUAUAUUGAACCGCAUGGUUCAAUAGUGAAAGACGGUUUUGCUGCCACUUAUAGAUGGAUCCGCGCCGCAUUAGCUAGUUGGUAAGGUAACGGCUUACCAAGGCAACGAUGCGUAGCCGACCUGAGAGGGUGAUCGGCCACACUGGAACUGAGACACGGUCCAGACUCCUACGGGAGGCAGCAGUAGGGAAUCUUCCGCAAUGGGCGAAAGCCUGACGGAGCAACGCCGCGUGAGUGAUGAAGGUCUUCGGAUCGUAAAACUUUGUUAUUAGGGAAGAACAAAUGUGUAAGUAACUAUGCACGUCUUGACGGUACCUAAUCAGAAAGCCACGGCUAACUACGUG
rnacentral:rRNA from 1 species